GAUGAACGCUGGCGUCGUGCCUAAUACAUGCAAGUCGAGCGAACAGACGAGGAGCUUGCUCCUCUGACGUUAGCGGCGGACGGGUGAGUAACACGUGGAUAACCUACCUAUAAGACUGGGAUAACUUCGGGAAACCGGAGCUAAUACCGGAUAAUAUAUUGAACCGCAUGGUUCAAUAGUGAAAGACGGUUUUGCUGUCACUUAUAGAUGUAUCCGCGCCGCAUUAGCUAGUUGCUAAGGUAACGGCUUACCAAGGCAACGAUGCGUAGCCGACCUGAGAGGGUGAUCGGACAAACUGGAAAUGAGACACGGUGCAGACUCCUACGGGAGGCAGCAGUAGGGAAUCUGCCGCAAUGGGCGAAAGCCUGACGGAGAAACGCCGCGUGAGUGAUGAAGGUCUUCGGAUCGUAAAACUCUGUUAUUAGGGAAGAACAAAUGUGUAAGUAACUAUGCACGUCUUGACGGUACCUAAUCAGAAAGCCACGGCUAACUACGUG
rnacentral:rRNA from 1 species